rnacentral:rRNA from 1 species
AGUGCCAAGUUAAAAAAAGCGCUUUGGUCUUUUUUUACUUCUAAAUCCGCCUUCCGACUAGGUUUCAUAUAUAGUCUUCCGUGUAGUCUAAUUUAGACAGUGUAGCCCAUCUCUUCCCAUUUUAUAUGCUGCACCUUGACCUGACGUACUGGCGUAGGGGCAUUUAGCUCACUAGUUGGCGCUCACGUGGUAAGCUGACGACGGAGGUAUACAGGCUGAUAUGCUAAAAAUGGUGAGGUUAAGCGGGGGUUAUCGAUUAUAGGACAGGCUCCUCUAGGUGGAUAUGGGGUACCGUCAAGUCCCUUGGGUUUUAAGCU